rnacentral:snRNA from 1 species
AUUUCUCGGCCUUUUGGCUAAGAUCAAGUGUAGUAUGAAGCUGAAAGAGAUCUGUUUUUAUUUUCAAAGUACUACUUUGGUGCAGCCAGACUUCAGGGACAGCAUCCUGGACAACAAGCUUUACAAUACUUCACUCUUGCCUAUAGUGAAAGAUUGAAACCUCA